UAUUUCUCUGGAGGAAAAACUUACCAUGAUAUUCCUAUAUUGUGUCUCCGGUGCUUAUUAAUGAGUUUUUUUAAAGCUACCUUGCACUUUCAAGAUAUCACUUCCCUAUAGUGUUUGGUAUUUAAGAGCAUUUUUCUACUAUUAUAUUACUAUUGUUCCCAUAACUAUUAGGAAUGUCUGUGGUGGUGAGCAGAGAGUUUAAAGUCACCUUAUUCUGCAGCGUCGUAUUUUUAUCCCUGUUGAAACAAACUACAGUAUUGUGACGUAGGCUGUUUAUCCCCACCGCAGAUCCAUGUCCAUAUCUUACCGGAGAUUUGAGUCAGCGGCGCGGUGCCUGUGCUGUAGCCCUUCUCCGCGUACACCUGCCGGGUGUCGGCGCAGCUCCUCCCCGCAGCAGCCACUGGGCUCCGGGUCUCCGACAGUGCACAGACCGUGCAGAGCAGCACAAGCAACGGGUACCUGGGGAAAGGUAACCGGGUAUCCAUCCUCACCGCAGGACUCGGAAGAAGACAGCAGGGGAGAGGGCGGGUAGAUCUAAAACCAGACGGGCGCAGCACCUUAUAAAUAAAUGAAUGAAUGGCCGGUUUAGAGGCACGCUAAAGUAAUAAGAGUAACAGUAUCCCAAAUCGUCAAUCGUUUAAAACAGUCAUAGUUUUCCUCGAUAAGUGCAACGACCAGAUGCAUUCGGGCUGGUUUCUACAGACCUAUCGCAUCUAUGUUUCUAUAGACCGUGUCCAGUUAAUUUAUCUUUUCAGGGAAAUCCGCUGUUGUACGUAGAUGUAAAGGGAGUGUGAAUGGGGCACUCCCGUCCCUCAUCCAACAGCCAAACUGCGUCAAGUUCACAGGAGUUGGCAGGAGAAUACCGGAAAAGUGACUGUUUUCAAAAUAAAAUAAAAGGCGAGUUUAUUUAUAGGCUGUAGCAUUUUUUUUUCCUCAAGUACUAGAGUAAAAUAAAAUGACAGAUACAAUUUUGCUGAAAUUGAAUGAAAACUGAUUAGACAAGAGAAUAAAAAAUACAGAUACAAGAUAUGAAUGAGUAGUGCUGGAUAAUUUAGAAAAGGCUGUGUCUCCAUAUUUUUUUUUUUUUUUUUUAUGUACUGUUCAUUUCUGCCUUUUCUAGGAUCAACCAUAAAUGACAACAGCCUCCAACAAAAUAUGUUCUUAUAUCAUGUUGAAAUAGUUUGCAUUUUAGUAGAACAGAAUUUGUGGCUAAAGGGACAGAUGUAGGCUACUAUAACAGCCUGGGUUAUACUCAUAUAAUGAGUUUCAGAUCAAGACUAAGUGCAGUUGUGGCACAGGAAGGUCCAGAAGGGUAUGCUGUGUUCAGAGUGCCUGAACAUGGUCAUGGAGCUAGGUUAGAUGACCUGUGUCAAUAUUUACAUCAAUGACACACGUGGAUUUUUCCUGGAUCACUGCCUUGGUUAAAAGUCUAACAGCACUUAUUUUUAAGUAUGCGAAGACAUUUUAACAAAGUUUCAGAAGAUUUGUCAUUGUUUAAAUGUGCUGCAUUAGACUUUUCAAAGGGACAGAGGUGUAUGUUAAGUAAAAACUGGCAGGCUAAUUGGAGCCAUGAGAAUGUUUUGGCAUUGAAAGGUUUUCUGCUACUGUAAAUUCUUUGGAUAAAAAGCGUCAGCUAAAUGUAUCUAAAUAUAAAUGGUUUGAAACCAAUGCUGCUUGCUGAUGCUCUGAAUAAAUGAAAUGAUUACCUGUGCUUAUUACUCUCCUGCAACAGCCACAUAUACUGGAAUGUAAAUGUUUUUGUGUCUGCAUUUGAUUAAGGGAUGUCAGGAUGUAAAGAGAAUUUCAAAAACAAAUGAUUCUGAAAUAAAUUGCUUUAAGCACCUAUUCCAGCCCAA